rnacentral:lncRNA from 1 species
UUGAGCGAGAAGUUGCUUAAUUGAGAAGAGAAAGAGAUAGAAUGAGAAACUUGUGAAUCUGAACUGGGUUUAAACUGAGGGUCUUUAGAAGCAAUUCUUGAUGAGGCCUGCAAAGAAUGAGGAGCAGUGGAAGCCAUUUUAGGAGAGUUUCGUGGAGUUUGAAUCUUGAAAAUGGAUUCCAACAGGAAAAAACAAUAAUUUUAUAAUGAAAUGGAUGCGUAGGUGGGUUGGUGGGAAGAAGAGUUGAAGUUGUUGGAGUUGGAAGCCGAUGUAGUUGGGCGAGGGGUGCAUGGAAGGAAAAUGAAUCCAACAAAACGGAAUGUGUUGGUGGUAGGAAUUGCAACCGGGCGGAGGC